rnacentral:rRNA from 1 species
CCAGAGAACUUAGCAGAGAUGCUUUGGUGCCUUCGGGAACUCUGAGACAGGUGCUGCAUGGCUGUCGUCAGCUCGUGUUGUGAAAUGUUGGGUUAAGUCCCGCAACGAGCGCAACCCUUAUCCUUUGUUGCCAGCGGCUCGGCCGGGAACUCAAAGGAGACUGCCGGUGAUAAACCGGAGGAAGGUGGGGAUGACGUCAAGUCAUCAUGGCCCUUACGGCCAGGGCUACACACGUGCUACAAUGGCGCAUACAAAGAGAAGCGACCUCGCGAGAGCAAGCGGACCUCACAAAGUGCGUCGUAGUCCGGAUUGGAGUCUGCAACUCGACUCCAUGAAGUCGGAAUCACUAGUAAUCGUAGAUCAGAAUGCUACGGUGAAUACGUUCCCGGGCCUUGUACACACCGCCCGUCACACCAUGGGAGUGGGUUGCAAAAGAAGUAGGUAGCUUAACCUUCGGGAGGGCGCUUACCACUUUGUGAUUCAUGACUGGGGUGAAGUCGUAACAAGGUAGGCGUAGCGAG